GACGAACGCUGGCGGCACGCUUAACACAUGCAAGUCGAACGAGAGAAGAGAAGCUUGCUUUUCUGAUCUAGUGGCGGACGGGUGAGUAACACGUGAGCAAUCUGCCUUUCAGAGGGGGAUACCGAUUGGAAACGAUCGUUAAUACCGCAUAAUAUAAUUGAACCGCAUGAUUUGAUUAUCAAAGAUUUAUCGCUGAAAGAUGAGCUCGCGUCUGAUUAGCUAGUUGGUAAGGUAACGGCUUACCAAGGCGACGAUCAGUAGCCGGACUGAGAGGUUGAUCGGCCACAUUGGGACUGAGACACGGCCCAGACUCCUACGGGAGGCAGCAGUGGGGAAUAUUGCACAAUGGAGGAAACUCUGAUGCAGCGAUGCCGCGUGAGGGAAGAAGGUUUUAGGAUUGUAAACCUCUGUCUUCAGGGACGAAAAAAGACGGUACCUGAGGAGGAAGCUCCGGCUAACUACGUGCCAGCAGCCGCGGUAAUACGUAGGGAGCAAGCGUUGUCCGGAAUUACUGGGUGUAAAGGGAGCGUAGGCGGGAUCGCAAGUCAGAUGUGAAAACUAUGGGCUUAACCCAUAAACUGCAUUUGAAACUGUGGUUCUUGAGUGAAGUAGAGGUAAGCGGAAUUCCUAGUGUAGCGGUGAAAUGCGUAGAUAUUAGGAGGAACAUCAGUGGCGAAGGCGGCUUACUGGGCUUUAACUGACGCUGAGGCUCGAAAGCGUGGGGAGCAAACAGGAUUAGAUACCCUGGUAGUCCACGCCGUAAACGAUGAUUACUAGGUGUGGGGGGACUGACCCCUUCCGUGCCGCAGCAAACGCAAUAAGUAAUCCACCUGGGGAGUACGACCGCAAGGUUGAAACUCAAAGGAAUUGACGGGGGCCCGCACAAGCAGUGGAGUAUGUGGAUUAAUUCGAAGCAACGCGAAGAACCUUACCAGGUCUUGACAUCGUAUGCAUAGCUCAGAGAUGAGUGAAAUCUCUUCGGAGACAUAUAGACAGGUGGUGCAUGGUUGUCGUCAGCUCGUGUCGUGAGAUGUUGGGUUAAGUCCCGCAACGAGCGCAACCCUUACUGUUAGUUGCUACGCAAGAGCACUCUAGCAGGACUGCCGUUGACAAAACGGAGGAAGGUGGGGAUGACGUCAAAUCAUCAUGCCCCUUAUGACCUGGGCCUCACACGUACUACAAUGGCUGUCAACAGAGGGAAGCAAAGCCGCGAGGUGGAGCGAACCCCUAAAAGCAGUCUUAGUUCGGAUUGUAGGCUGCAACCCGCCUACAUGAAGUCGGAAUUGCUAGUAAUCGCAGAUCAGCAUGCUGCGGUGAAUACGUUCCCGGGCCUUGUACACACCGCCCGUCACGCCAUGGGAGUCGGUAACACCCGAAGCCUGUAGUCUAACCGCAAGGAGGACGCAGUCGAAGGUGGGAUUGAUGACUGGGGUG
rnacentral:rRNA from 1 species